rnacentral:rRNA from 1 species
UACGUAGGGGGCAAGCGUUGUCCGGAAUUAUUGGGCGUAAAGCGCGCGCAGGCGGUCAAUUAAGUUGGGUGUUUAAGCCCGGGGCUCAACCCCGGUUCGCAUCCAAAACUGGUUGACUUGAGUGUAGGAGAGGAAAGUGGAAUUCCACGUGUAGCGGUGAAAUGCGUAGAGAUGUGGAGGAACACCAGUGGCGAAGGCGACUUUCUGGCCUAUAACUGACGCUGAGGCGCGAAAGCGUGGGGAGCAAACAGGAUUAGAAACCCUGUAGUCC